CAAUAGCGUAUAUUAAAGUUGUUGCAGUUAAAAAGCUCGUAGUUGGAUUUCUGGGAGGGUGCCAAUGUCCGCCAACGUGCGUGUGCAGCGGCGCCCUUCCAUCCUUCUGUUAACGCCUCUUGGCAUUCAUUUGCUGGUAGCGGGCUCAGAUAUUUUACCUUGAGAAAAUUAGAGUGUUUCAGGCAGGCUUGGCCGGAAUACAUUAGCAUGGAAUAAUAAGAUAGGACUUCGGAACUAUUUUGUUGGUUUGCGUUACGAAGUAAUGAUUAAUAGGGACAGUUGGGGGUAUUCGUAUUUCGUUGUCAGAGGUGAAAUUCUUGGAUUUCCGAAAGACGAACUACUGCGAAAGCAUUUACCAAGGAUGUUUUCAUUAAUCAAGAACGAAAGUUAGGGGAUCGAAGACGAUCAGAUACCAU
rnacentral:rRNA from 1 species